rnacentral:piRNA from 1 species
ACUGCGAGCCCUGGACUUACUGUG